rnacentral:rRNA from 1 species
GAGUAAAGAUUUCGGUCGCUUUGGGAGGAGCUCGCUUACUAUCAGCUUGUUGGUAGGGUAAUGGCCUACCAAGGCUAUGACGGUUAGGGGGUGUGAGAGCAUGACCCCCAGCAUUGGCACUGAAACACUGGCCAAACACCUACGGGUGGCUGCAGUCGAGAAUCUUCCACAAUGGGGGAAACCCUGAUGGAGCGAUGCUGCGUGCGGGAUGAAGGCCUUCGGGUUGUAAACCGCUUUUGUAGGGGACGAAAUUUUUGACGGUACCCUUUCGAAUAAGAGGUUGCUAACUCUGUGCCAGCAGCAGCGGUAAUACAGAGACCUCAAGCGUUAUCCGGAUUUACUGGGCGUAAAGCGUCUGUAGGGGGUUUAUUAAGUUCCAAGUAAAAUUUCAAGGCUCAACUUUGAAUUCGCUUGGAGAACUAAUAAACUGGAGUCUAGCAGAGGUGCAUGGAACUUGUGGUGUAGGAGUGAAAUCCGUUGAUAUCACAACGAACACCAAAGGCGAAGGCAUUGCACUGGGCUAGCACUGACCCUGAGAGACGAAAGCGUGGGGAGCAAAACGGAUUAGAUACCCGUGUAGUCCACGCCCUAAACGAUGAAUGCUAAAUGUUCGGGGAUUCGACCCCCUGGGUGUUACAGCUAACGCGUUAAGCAUUCCGCCUGGGAAGUACGGCCGCAAGGCUAAAACUCAAAGGAAUAGACGGGGAUCCGCACAAGCGGUGGAGCGUCUGGUUUAAUUCGACAGUAAGCGUGGUACCUCACCAGGGUUUGACAUCCCUUGACAGCCUUGGAAACAAGGUUUCCUUCGGGCAAGGUGACAGGUGCUGCAUGGUCGUCGUCAGUUCGUGCCGUGAGGUGUUCCGUUAAGUCGGGAAACGAACGAAACCCCUAUUGCAUGUUACAAUUUCUCAUGCAAGACUGCCCGGAUAUACUGGGAGGAAGGUGGGGAUGACGUCAGAUCUGCAUGGUCCUUAUACCCUGGGCGACACAGGCGCUACAAUGGCAGAGACAAAGGGUUGCAAAACCGCAAGGUGAAGCUAAUCCCAAAAACUUUGUCUAAGUUCGGAUUGAAGGCUGCAAUUCGCCUUCAUGAAGCUGGAAUCGCUAGUAAUCGUGAAUCAGCCACGUCACGGUGAAUAUGUUCCCGGAUCUUGUACUCACCGCCCGUCACACCAAGAGAGUUGGUAGCUCCCG